rnacentral:rRNA from 1 species
GGCGGCCGUAACUAUAACGGUCCUAAGGUAGCGAAAUUCCUUGUCGGGUAAGUUCCGACCUGCACGAAUGGCGUAAUGAUGGCCAGGCUGUCUCCACCCGAGACUCAGUGAAAUUGAACUCGCUGUGAAGAUGCAGUGUACCCGCGGCAAGACGGAAAGACCCCGUGAACCUUUACUAUAGCUUGACACUGAACAUUGAGCCUUGAUGUGUAGGAUAGGUGGGAGGCUUUGAAGCGUGGACGCCAGUCUGCGUGGAGCCGACCUUGAAAUACCACCCUUUAAUGUUUGAUGUUCUAACGUGGAYCCGUAAUCCGGGUUGCGGACAGUGUCUGGUGGGUAGUUUGACUGGGGCGGUCUCCUCCUAAAGAGUAACGGAGGAGCACGAAGGUUGGCUAAUCCUGGUCGGACAUCAGGAGGUUAGUGCAAUGGCAUAAGCCAGCUUGACUGCGAGCGUGACGGCGCGAGCAGGUGCGAAAGCAGGUCAUAGUGAUCCGGUGGUUCUGAAUGGAAGGGCCAUCGCUCAACGGAUAAAAGGUACUCCGGGGAUAACAGGCUGAU